GACGAACGCUGGCGGCGUGCUUAACACAUGCAAGUCGAACGGAAAGGCCUUUUCGGAGGUACUCGAGUGGCGAACGGGUGAGUAACACGUGGGUGAUCUGCCCUGCACUCUGGGAUAAGCCUGGGAAACUGGGUCUAAUACCGGAUAGGACCGCACUUUAGUGUGUGUGGUGGCAAGUUUUUUCGGUGUAGGAUGAGCCCGCGGCCUAUCAGCUUGUUGGUGGGGUAAUGGCCUACCAAGGCGGCGACGGGUAGCCGGACUGAGAGGUUGGUCGGCCACAUUGGGACUGAGAUACGGCCCAGACUCCUACGGGAGGCAGAAGUGGGGAAGAUUGCACAAUGGGCGCAAGCCUGAUGCAGCGACGCCGCGUGGGGGAUGACGGCCUUCGGGUUGUAAACUCCUUUCGCCAGGGACGAAGCGUUUUGUGACGGUACCUGGAGAAGAAGCACCGGCUAACUACGUG
rnacentral:rRNA from 1 species